rnacentral:rRNA from 1 species
CCCUUAGAUGUUCGGGGCCGCACGCGCGCUACACUGAAUGAAUCAGCGAGUGUAUGUCCUAGGCCGAAAGGUCCGGGUAACCCGUUGAACCUCAUUCGUGAUUGGGAUAGGGACUUGCAAUUGUUUCCCUUGAACGAGGAAUUCCCAGUAAGCGCAAGUCAUCAGCUUGCAUUGAUUACGUCCCUGCCCUUUGUACACACCGCCCGUCGCACCUACCGAUUGAACGUUCCGGUGAGACCUUGGGAUUUGGUCUUUGGUACUUUAUUGUGCCGUUGACCGAAAAACUUGAGCAAACCUUAACGUUUAGAGGAAGGUGAAGUCGUAACA